CCCGCUGAACUUAAGCAUAUUAAUAAGGGGAGGAAAAGAAACUAACAAGGAUUCCCUUAGUAACGGCGAGUGAAGCGGGAAAAGCUCAAUCUGAAAAUCGGAUGCAUUUAUGUAUUCGAAUUGUAGUCUGGAGAAGCAUGCUCAGCGAGUGGCCCGAGCCUAAGUCCUUUGGGAUAAGGCCGUCAUAGAAGGUGAGAACCCUGUCUGUGGCCCGGAGUCCGCCGCGUACGACGUGCUUUCCAAGAGUCGGGUUGUUUGGGAUUGCAGCCCUAAUUGGAUGGUAAAUUUCAUCUAAAGCUAAAUACUUGCGAGAGACCGAUAGCGAACAAGUACCGUGAGGGAAAGAUGAAAAGAACUUUGAAAAGAGAGUCAAAAAGUGCUUGAAAUUGCUGAAAGGGAAGCGAUGGAAACCAGUCGGGGCGGGGUGCAAUUACUCUGUAUGAGUUGUUAGUGGCUUGUCAUUGAGUUUAACCCUUUGAUAUUUUGCUGAUAAUUCAUGCAGACAUACUGUAAUCCCGUGCGAGUCAGAAUCGGUUUGUUUCGCAGGAGAUCGCUGCUGGUGCGGUAGCCUUACGUGGGCCUAGCUCACUUAAGGUGAUGACCGGUAGUGGUACUGUGGGAUGGACCGAGGUCUUAGUAUGCGCUUGCUUGCGGGCGUGACAUUGGGUUGCCUGGCUAGGCGAAUUUCUUGAUGAACAUGAAGUCGUUAGGAGAGGCUGCCGGUCACUGCGAUUUAUUGUCACUGCAUAUUGGUGAUUCUGACGAAAUGGUUUCGAUCGACCCGUCUUGAAACACGG
rnacentral:rRNA from 1 species